UUUUAAAUAUUUUAUUAGCCAUUAUAGCAGUCAUCUAAGACAAUGCAGAGUUUUUGGACUAAUUUUGCGCAUAUUUCUCCAAGCUCUGAAAACCCUGCCAUCAUGCUGGUGCACCCAUCUGAACCUGUGCCUGAAAAACAGGAACAACCCAAAUCAGAUCAUGUGGCUGCCCUAAAUAACUCAGAAAAUGCCAAUCCAGGAGUUCUGGUUUUAGGGAAGUCUUCCUCCCUUGGGGCUCAGUCAGACGUCAUAACCUUCCUCAGGAAGCUGGUUAGGGCUAGAGCCAGAGCAAUGGGAAAGGCAUCCAAGGCCAGUAAACCUGGCUACAGAUGAAGUCCUUACCUGGGAGAGAUGGAAGUGCGAGCACUUGAACAAAAGUUGACCCUUGUGAAACCAGGGGCAGCAGAACAUGCAUAGGCUGCGAUCUGGAAGCAGUGUUCCUCAAGGACAGUCCUGUGGAAACUGAGCCUUUGUUGCACAUUUAAGACAGAAUGGGAGAGAUCAAAGCUUGUGAGACGUAAAGGAGAUAUUUGUGAGUUAAGGGCAAAUCAGACCUGUGCACUGAGAGAGCACAAAUGAGGGUCAGGUGUUAGCAACAGUCCUGUAAUGCAAACAGGACGUUAGCUAAGUGGCUAUGCUAGAGCUACCUGACAGGAUCAUAACUAGUCCAAAACACCACGUUUGAACAGUUCGAGAUAAAAGAGACCGGUGAAGUGCUAAUGAAAUGUUGGUUGGAAGAGCACAGACAGGAAGAAACUGCAAUACUCAUACUAUUUAUUGGCACCAGUGGAGCCAACCUUCAUUUAUUAGUUUUAUUUUUCUGUUUAACAAAACAGUCCGAUGCGUUCUAACACAAUCUGACAUAAUGACAACAUCAGCAGCCAAUGAGCUUGCUGCUCAACAUUCAAAUAUUUGGCUGCUGCUUGCUGUAGCAAUUGCAGCACGUAUCAGAAACCCUCUACCUUCCCCAGCUCCACCUGUCUAGAUCUGCUGCGGGGUGAUUUCAUGUAUGUUAUAUAUGAGGGUUAUUUCAUAUGUGUUAUAUGUGCAGCAGCAGUAUUUCUUACAUGCUCACAACAGCAUUUCUGUGGAUGUAUUGGCAGUAGCAAGUCUCGGUACUUUAAAGCAAGUAUUCUCUGACCUUUAAGGUUGGCAUAGUACAAUACAAUACAAUACAAUAGUAAUGGGAUGUUUCAGGGAAUAUAGCAUAAGGAUGACCACUUUGUAUGGACUGUGCCCUUGUUUUUCAUAUAAAUCCAGCUUUACCUAGCAUUAUGUAUUCAUAAGUGAUGCAGACAGUUGUGUUUUUGCAAUCUGUAGCUGGAGAACUUUCUUAUUUAAUGAAUAGCACUAGAACAUUUUAGAGCGCUAACAGUGUGUAUGCAGUAAGUAUGCACUUUAAGAUUACUUUUGGCUGUUGUACUAUUAUAUAUAUAUUUAUAUAUAUAAUUUUGUAGAGAAAGAUUUGUGUAUUGUAUAUAAACAAUAUGGUUUUGUUUAUAUCAUUAUGAUGAAAUUUAUGUAUUCCAUAUUUAUUUCCACAUACUCUGAAUAUGUUAGAUCACUUAGAUUUGUUAUUAACAAAGAAUCCUAAUAAAUUCAUCUUAAAAUAAGUCUUAUUGCUAACCCUAAUUUCGUGUGCUUCUCAAGUACAUUCAACUGUCACCCUGCUGUAGUCUUGUCUAUGUCACAGACAGGAACUGAACAUUACCAGAUUAUGUUCAAAAUAAAGCAAUAGCCCGCAAUUACACUUCAUGUUAAAACAUCCUUGGCAUAAUCUCUUGCAUACAUAGGUUUGUAUAAUUGCCCUGGAUCAAUGCCAAUUCCUUGGUUGACAAAGCACCUUGGCAUGAAGACUCAAAGGGUGUGUACAUGGUUGAAAAGUAAUUAGUUUGAACACAUUGACAUGUUGUUGUGAUGUGAAAGAUAGACUCUUGUAGAGCAGGUGAAUUAAGCAGGAAGCUUGCAGGCGCAUGGGAAAGAAACAGUGUAGACAAUAGCAAUGCCAGAACAACAACAGUCUUGAUGGUUUCCAUCUUCCUGUCAUGACUGAUUAUAUAGGCCAACAGUGC
rnacentral:lncRNA from 1 species